GGGUCAGUAGGUUGGUCGUGCCACCGGUACGUACUGGUCUCACUGAUCCCUCCUUCCUGAAGAACCGUAAUGCCAUUAAUUGGGUGUUGCGGGGAAACAGGACUGUUACUUUGAAAAAAUUAGAGUGUUUAAAGCAAGCUAACGCUUGAAUACAUUAGCAUGGAAUAAUGAAAUAGGACGAUCGAUCCUAUUUUGUUGGUUUCUAGGAUUGACGUA
rnacentral:rRNA from 1 species